rnacentral:lncRNA from 1 species
AAUAGCCUCAUCAUUCAAGUCAGGCAAAGUUCUGCCUCCCCUGAAAUCACUGGCAGUCUUCAAAAGUUCUAGAGAACAGAUUAUGCUGGUGUGUUCUCCAACAUGUGCCCUCAGGAUGGUGUCUCCACUCAAUGUGAGCCUCUCGGUUUCCUCCCACACAAGACAUGUAAGUAUCUACUGCACUGUGCAAGGUAGGGUCACGAAUGGUCUCCUGAAGCAGUGGUCACCUGCUCUAGUGGCGCUCCCACACAGCCAGCACCUGGGUUAUGUAAGAAAAGCUUGUGUGCAUGAAGACGAGGUUAAUACAGAUUUUUUAGAGGGAAGACAGAAAGAGAGCAAGGCUUGCUGGUGUGAAGGAGAGAGCACAUCACACCUGUGGAGUACUUCCAUAUCAGCUGAAUAGGAGGAUCUUUUCGAGAAGAUCUGGAUAACCAGUGAUUAAUCUGCUGAGCAUAACCAGUACAUGUUCUCGCCUCUAUUUAAAAUCAUUCUUUCUUAUAUGCUAAACAUGGAUCAACUGUGAAGGGAGUGAUACACACAAAGACUACAACCCUGCAGCAAGUCUGGUAAAGAAAGGAGGAACAUGGAGAGAGGCAUCACUUGCCUAGCUUCCCAGCUAAAAACUACCCUCUACCAUCCCAUUCCAAGGGGAAUAUGCAACAAGGUGAAGCAGCAAAGCAGCCUCACUGCUGGAACAGACCUCAGCUCUGUGCCCUCACAGGGAUGUGAAAAUAAAGACAUAAAACCUAACA